rnacentral:tRNA from 1 species
GGUCCCGUGGUGUAGCGCUUGCACGCGGGACGGCAAAUCCUGCGACGGGAGUUAAAAUCUCCCCAGGACCA